AUUGAACGCUGGCGGCAGGCCUAACACAUGCAAGUCGGGCGAGAGGCGGACGGGUGAGUAAUGUAUGGGGAUCUGCCUGAUGGCGGGGGAUAACUACUGGAAACGGUAGCUAAUACCGCAUACCAUCAGAUGAACCCAGAUGGGAUUAGCUAGUAGGUACGGUAAUGGCUUACCUAGGCGCCGAUCCCUAGCUGGUCUGAGAGGAAUAUCAGCGAAAAUGGGACUGAGACACGGCCCAGACUCCAACGGUAGGAAGCAGGGGGGAAUAUUGCACAAUGGGCGCCAGCCUGAGGCAGCCAUGCCGCGUGUAGGAAGAAGGCCUUCGGGUUGUAAAGUACUUUCAGUCGGGAGGCGUUACCCACAGAAGAAGCACCGGAUAACUCCGUGCCAGCAGCCGCGGUAAUUC
rnacentral:rRNA from 1 species